GACGAACGCUGGCGGCGUGCUUAACACAUGCAAGUCGAGCGGUGACGAAUGGAGCUUGCUCUGUUCUGAUCAGUGGCGAACGGGUGAGUAACACGUGAGUAACCUGCCCCUGACUCUGGAAUAACUUCGGGAAACCGAAGCUAAUACCGGAUAUGACACAGAGCCGCAUGGUUUCUGUGUGGAAAGUUUUUCGGUUGGGGAUGGACUCGCGGCCUAUCAGCUUGUUGGUGAGGUAAUGGCUCACCAAGGCGACGACGGGUAGCCGGCCUGAGAGGGCGACCGGCCACACUGGGACUGAGACACGGCCCAGACUCCUACGGGAGGCAGCAGUGGGGAAUAUUGCACAAUGGGCGAAAGCCUGAUGCAGCGACGCCGCGUGAGGGAUGAAGGCCUUCGGUUGUAACCUCUUUCAGUAGGGAAGAAGCGCAAGUGACGGUACCUACAGAAGAAGCACCGGCUAACUACGUAGCCAGCAGCCGCGGUAA
rnacentral:rRNA from 1 species